CUCUCUCUCCCUCCUGUAGUGUUUCUGCACUGCAUUUUCUGUUUCUGCUUCUCUUUUUUUUUUUUUGGACUGCCAUGCUCUCUCUCUCUCUCCUGCAGUGUUUCUGCACUGCACUUUGUUUUCUGCAUCUUUUUUUUUGGCUGCCAUGCUCUCUCUCUCUCUUUCCUGCACUGAUUCUGCACUACAUUCUUCUUCUGCAUCUUUUUUUUUUUGGCUGCCAAUGCCAUGCUCUCUCCUUAGUCCUUACCCUGCAAUAUUUUUCUUUUCCUUUUCUUUUUAGUAUAAAUUUGUGAUUUUGACAUAUUAUUUAUUGUGAAUAUGUGAAAAUAUGUUGAGAGUUGAGACUUGACAACUUGAGAUGCUAAUAAUAUGCUAAUUCAAUUACUCUUAUUAGCUUUUAGUUUUAUUAUUGGAUUAAAAAUGUUUUAUGACUUUAUUUUCUUAUUGCUAAUUGUUAUUAGGUCUUCUUAGAAAUUAUUAGAAAUAUUGUAAUUGAGUUUGUGUUAUCAUAAAUUGUUAAUUUCUAUUAUUAUAAUUGGAUUAUGGUACUAUAAAUUGGUAUGCAUAUUAUUGUUGGCUUGUUGUUACUUGUUAAAUUAUUAAUUUUCUUAUCUUUUUAUUUUAUUUUUGCAAAGAUGGAAUCGGAAGCAUCUACCGCUGCUAAAACUGACAAUAGCAACAAAGAUCCCGCAUGGAAAUAUGUCCACUUGGUGAAUCCAAACAAUAGAAAUGAUGUUGCUUGUAACUUUUGUAGCAAAGUUACAAAAGGAGGGAUAUUUCGAGCUAAACAGCAUUUAGUUGGAGGAUUUCGAAAUGCUACAAUGUGUAAGAAGUGUCCAACACAUGUGCGUGAAGAGCUACAAGAGUAUAUGCAGCAAAAGGCUUCAGCAAAGACCUUAGAUAAAUUGCCUGAUUAUGAGGAUGUUGAAAUUCUUGGAGAUGACGAAGAUGAAGAUGAUGUUGGGACAAUUCUUAGAGGCUCAAAAGGAAAUAGUAAGGUUCAAAAGAAGGCAAGGACAAAGGGUCCAAUAGAUUUAUAUUUUGCCAAAAGUGCUGCAAAGGCGGUACAGGAUAGAAAAAAUUCAAAGCUGAAGCAAACCACUAUUAAUGAGGCAUGUAAAAAGGAAUUGAGAAAAAAAGCAUGUAAGGAUAUAGCUCGAUGGAUGUAUGAUGCGGCAAUUCCUUUUAAUGCUGUCAAUUAUCCAAGUUUUCAAGUUAUGGUGGAGUCUAUUGGACAAUUUGGGAUUGGUAUGAAAGCACCUAGUUUUCAUGAGGUGCGGGUUCCCUUAUUGAAUGAAGAAGUUGCUGAGGUGAAGAAUUCAUUAAAGUCCUAUGAAGAAGAAUGGGCAAAGUAUGGUUGUUCUAUAAUGGCAGAUGGUUGGACUGAUAAGAAACAAAGGACUUUGAUUAAUUUCUUGGUGAAUUCUCCAAAGGGAACUGUUUUCAUGGAAUCUGUUGAUGCUUCAGAGUACUCAAAAACUGGUGAUAAGAUGUAUGACCUGCUUAAUAGAUUUGUAGAGCGUGUUGGAGAGGCUAAUGUGGUUCAAGUUGUGACAGAUAAUGCUAGCAAUUGUGUGCUUGCAGGGAAGUUGUUAGAAACAAAGUGCCCUCAUUUGUAUUGGACUCCUUGUGCUGCUCAUUGCCUAGAUUUGAUGCUAGAAGAUAUUGGAAAAAUUCCCAAAAUUCAUAACACAAUUAAAAGGGCAGUGACAUUGAAUGGAUAUAUUUACAUUCGUCCGGGUGUUGUGAACAUGUUGCGGCACUUUACUGGUGAAAGAGAGCUAAUUAGGCUAGUUGUCACAAGAUUUGCAACUGCUUUUCUCACCCUUCAACGUAUACGUAAGCACAAGGCGAAUUUGAGAAAGAUGUUUACCUCAGAGGAAUGGACCAAAAGUAAGUGGGCAAAAGAACUGUCUGGUAAAAAAGUAUACAGUAUUGUCAUGAUGCCUACUUUUUGGACUAAUAUUGUUUAUAUCUUAAAGAUAUUUGGUCCAUUAGUUCGUGUGCUUACAUUAGUUGAUGGUGAGAAAAUGCCUGCAAUGGGAUAUAUUUAUGAGGCGAUGGAUAGGGCUAAAGAAGCAAUUGCAAAGUCAUUUGAUGAAAAUGAAGAAAAAUACAGGACAAUUUUUGAGAUUAUUGAUAAACGAUGGGAAGCCAACUCCAUCGACCUUUGCACGCAGCUGGAUAUUAUUUGAAUCCUGAAUUUUUUUAUUCAAAUGAGAAAAUUAAUGAAGAUGUUAAGGUUGUUACCGGUUUAUUCCAAGUUGUAGCAAGGUUGAUUCCAAGCAAAGAAGAGCAAGACAAAAUAAUGGCACAAUUGCCUUUUUAUCAAAAUGCUGAAGGUAUCUUUGGGAUGGAUAUGGCAAUUAGGAAUCGAAAGAAAGUAUCUCCAGCUACAUGGUGGCAAACUUAUGGAGCAACAACUCCAAAUUUGAGAAAUUUUGCUGUUAAAGUGCUUAGCCUCACUUGUAGUGCAUCUGGUUGUGAGCGUAAUUGGAGCAUCUUUGAGCAU